UGGACUUUAGGUUUAUUUAGCGGCGAGGGCUACAUAUGUGGCAGUAAGCAACCAUACGCAACUGUAAGCAAGACUAGGAACGCAACCAUUACGCCAUCAUACACCAGCCUACACAAGGGACUAAUCUGUGCAAUUUUCCAGCAUACUCCAUACGCA